UACGUAGGGUGCAAGCGUUAAUCGGAAUUACUGGGCGUAAAGCGUGCGCAGGCGGUUAUGUAAGACAGAUGUGAAAUCCCCGGGCUCAACCUGGGAACUGCAUUUGUGACUGCAUAGCUAGAGUACGGUAGAGGGGGAUGGAAUUCCGCGUGUAGCAGUGAAAUGCGUAGAUAUGUGGAGGAAUACCGGUGGCGAAGGCGGCCUCCUGGCUCAAUACUGACGCUGAGGUGCGAAAGCGUGGGGAGCAAACAGG
rnacentral:rRNA from 1 species